UAGAGAUUAUGGCAUAAGAUGAUGGCAGAAAUUGUGGCAAAGAUUAUGGCAUAAAUCAUGCCCACGAUUUGUUCAUUAAUUGUGUAUAUAUAGUUACCUAGAAUAGAAUAUCAGUAAUUAGGACAUUAGCUGUAAUUAGCUAUGUAUAGAUGACUACCUAAAAUAGAUUGUACAGAAAUUCUUAUUUAAGGGAAAUGAUCAUGAAGUAAAAGGCAUUCAGCCAAUUUACUCAAAAAUUGUCAUGGUACUAGAGCUAGUCUCUUGAAUCCAUAGCUGGAUAUUUGAAUCAUUUGGUUAGUUUUCUGGGUUGAUUAAUUUCUAAUCAACAUUUUGGCUUUGAGAUUUUUUGGUCAAUCAAUUUUGUGAUUUCAAAAUUGCAUUGAAUUUUUUUUUCUUUCUCAUUUUUUAAGAAUGUCUAUUGAGAAUUCUUUUGGAAGCUCCCCUACAGAGACUUCGGCUAUCAAAUUUACAGGAAAGAAUUAUGCGGCCUGGGAAUUUCAAUUCAGAAUGUUUCUGAAAGGGAAGGACCUUUGUGGUCACAUUGAUGGGACUUCUCCUGCUCCCAAAAAUGAGAAAGAACUUGGUCAAUGGGAGGCAAAGGAUGCUAGAAUUAUUUCUUGGAUUUUAGCCUCCGUUGAAGCCCAUAUGGUGAACAAUUUGCGUUCAUUUGGUACAGCUAGGGAGAUGUGGGGUUUUCUGCAACGCAUAUAUCAUCAAAAUAAUACUGCACGACGAUUUCAGCUUGAACAUGAGAUUAGUACCUUCAGUCAAGGUAAUCUCUCUAUUGAGCAAUAUUAUUCUGGAUUUAUUAACUUAUGGAGCGAAUAUACUGGUCUUAUCUACUCUAAGGUACCUAAGGAGGCCUUAGGCAGCCUUCAACAGGUUCAUGAAGUUAGUAUGCGUGAUCAAUUUUUGAUGAAACUGAGAUCAGAAUUUGAGGUUACUCGGGGUGGAUUGCUGAAUAGAAAUCCGGUUCCUUCUUUGGAUGUUUGUCUUGGUGAAUUAUUACGGGAAGAACAGCGAUUGGCUACACAAUCUGUUCUAAGUGCAUCUGGAGGGACAUCAGAAGUUGUCAAUGUUGCUUAUGCUGCACAAGGGAGGAAUAAAGGAAAGGGAUCAAUGCAGUGCUACAGCUGCAAGGAGCUUGGACAUAUUGCUCACAACUGUGGUAAGAAAUUUUGUAAUUACUGUAAACAGAAUGGACAUAUUAUCAAGGACUGUCCUACACGACCAGAAAACAGGCGAGCUCAAGCUUUUCACGUUGCAGUUCCAGAUCCUACUGUUAUUGGUCCUACACUUACAACCACAAGCACCAAUCAGGCUGUUAUUACUCCAGAAAUGGUCCAACAGAUGAUUCUCACAGCAUUUUCUGCCCUUGGGCUUCAGGGCCAAGGUAAGACAAUCUCUUCUACUUGGUUUGUUGAUUCUGGAGCAUCCAAUCAUAUGACCGGCUCUACUGAUUCGUUACAGAAUUUGCAGCAGUAUACUGGUAGACAAAAUAUACAGAUUGCUAAUGGUAGUAAUCUUCCAAUUACAGCCAUUGGUGAUCUUGGACAUUCUUUUCGUCAUGUUUUUGUCGCUCCUAAGUUGGCUACUAGUUUAAUUUCUGUUGGUCAGUUGGUGGAUGAUAACUGUACUGUCAACUUCUCUCGUGAUGGUUGUCGUGUGCAGGAUCAGAUGUCGGGGAAGGUGAUCGCAAGGGGGCCUAAAGUGGGAAGAUUAUGUCCGUUGCAAUUUGCUAUUCCUAAACCUUUAUCUUUAGCUUCUAUGAUUGUUGAAAAUAAGGUUGACGUUUGGCAUAGGCGAUUAGGUCAUCCAAAUAAUGUGAUACUAUCUAAUUUGAUGAAGUGUGGUCUUCUUGAACAAAAAGAUCAGUGUUCUACUCAUGCAUUGUCUCUUGAUUGUUCUGCUUGUAAGUUAGGAAAGAGCAAAACUUUACUUUUUCCUACUUAUGGUAGUCGUGCUAAUGCAUGUUUUGAGAUAAUACAUAGUGAUGUUUGGGGCAUUACUCCUGUCAUUUCACAUGCGCAUUAUAGAUAUUUUGUGACGUUCAUUGAUGACUAUAGUCGGUUCACAUGGAUAUAUUUUUUGCGCACCAAAGCUGAGGUAUUUACUGUUUUUCAAACUUUUGUGGCUUAUAUUGAGACACAAUUUUCCACAACUAUUAAGAUUUUCCAAUCUGAUAAUGGUGGCGAAUAUGUGUCACAUAACUUUCAAGCCUUCUUGCAACAUAAAGGCAUUCUCUCUCAGCGAUCAUGUCCUUAUACGCCCCAACAGAAUGGGGUGGCUGAGCGUAAAAACCGUCACUUGUUGGAUAUUGUUCGAACAUUACUCUUACAGUCUACAGUGCCGUCUAAAUUUUGGGUUGAAGCUUUGACAACUGCAGUAUAUUUGAUUAAUCGUCUGCCUUCUCAACAAUUGGGUUUUGACUCUCCUUAUUAUCGCCUUUUUGGUGUCCAUCCUGAUUAUCACAUGUUACACCCAUUUGGCUGUGUUUGUUUUGUUCACUUGCCACCUCAUGAGCGUCACAAGCUUACAGCCCAAUCAGUUCGGUGUGCUUUUAUGGGUUAUAGCACUACUCAGAAAGGAUUUUUAUGCUAUGAUGUUGUUGCUAAUCGUUUCCAUGUUUCUAGAAAUGUAAUUUUCUUUGAGCAUGAGUACUAUUUUCAGCAGCAUGUUUUACCUUUCAAGCGUGUCCUUCUUCCUAGCUUUGAUGAUAUCUCGCCACCAAUUGAGCGUUUUAAACCCGGCAUUGUCUAUCAACGGCGCAGGGCUCCAUCAUCUCAAAUCCUUCCCGACCCAGAACCAAUACCUGCUCCAGUGGUUCUUCGAAGAUCUUCUCGUAUCCGUCAACCUCCUGCUAGGUAUGGCUUCUCUGCUACUUUAGCUAAUACUGCAGUUCCUACCUCUUAUUCUCAAGCAACUAAGCAUGCAUGUUGGGUAAAAGCUAUGCAAGAAUUUCAUGCUCUCCAGGAGAACCAUACUUGGGAUAUUAUUCCAUGUCCUAGUGGUGUUAAGCCCAUUGGUUGUAAGUGGAUUUAUUCCAUUAAGCUACGGUCUGAUGGCUCACUUGAUCGAUAUAAAGCGAGGGUGGUGACACUUGGUAAUAAACAAGAAUAUGGAAUAAAUUAUGAGGAGACAUUUGCCCCCGUCGCAAAGAUGACAACAGUACGCCUUAUUCUAGCUAUUGCUGCUUCUAAGGGCUGGUCAUUGCGACAAAUGGAUGUUAAGAAUGCCUUUUUGCAUGGGGAUUUUAAAGAAGAAAUUUAUAUGACUCCACCAUCAGGGUUAUUUUUUACACCUUCAUUUGAUGUUUGUAAGUUGAAACGAUCACUCUAUGGUUUGAAAUAGGCUCCACAUGCUUGGUUUGAUAAAUUUCGUUCUAUGCUUAUUAAUUUCUCAUUUGUCCAAAGCCAGUAUGACUCCUCUUUGUUUCUUUGCAAGACACCUAAAGGAAUUGUCCUGCUUCUGGUAUAUGUUGAUGAUAUUGUUAUUACAGGGACUGCUACUGACUUGAUUUCUAAGCUUCAAGACCAUCUUCAAACUUCUUUUCAUAUGAAGGACUUGGGUCCUUUACAGUAUUUUUUAGGUCUUGAGGUGCGUUCCACCUCCGCUGGUAUCUUCUUACACAAGCAUAAAUACAUUCAAGAGUUAAUUGCUUUGGCUGGCCUUCAAGAUGGUCGUUCAGUUGAUAUUCCCUUGGAGGUGAAUGUUAAAUAUCGUCAUGAUGAGGGUGCUUUUCUAUCUGAUCCUUCUUUAUAUGGACAAUUGGUAGGCAGCCUCAAUUAUCUGACUAUUACUCGGCCUGAUAUUUCUUUUGCUGUUCAACAAGUCAGUCAAUUUAUGCAAGCCCUUAGGCACCUUCAUCUCGCCGCUGUUCGUCGCAUUGUUCGCUAUUUGAAAGGCACUUCUGCCCGAGGUCUUUUCUUUCAAGUCGACUCUCCUAUUCGUCUGGUUGCAUACAGUGAUGCUGAUUGGGCUGGUUGUUCUGAUACUAGACGUUCCAUUACCGGUUGGUGCAUGUUUAUUGGUAACUCUCUCGUUUCUUGGAAAAGCAAGAAGCAAGAUCGGGUGUCUAAGUCUUCUACUGAGUCUGAGUAUCGGGCCAUGUCCUCUGCAUAUUCUGAAAUUGUUUAGCUUCGUGGAUUGUUGGGUGAACUUGGGUUUCCUCAAAUUGAGCCUACUCCGCUCCAUGCAGAUAACACUAGUGCUAUUCAAAUUGCUGCUAACCCAGUAUUUCAUGAGCGUACCAAGCACAUUGAAAUAGAUUGUCACUCUAUUCGUGAAGCAUAUGAUGCUCAUGUCAUCUCUCUUCCGCAUAUCACCACUGCUCUCCAAACUGCUGAUGUGUUUACUAAGGCUCUUUCCAAACCUAGACAUCACUUUCUUGUUGACAAAUUGAUGCUGAUGCUAGCUGAUCAACCAGCAUCAAUUUGAGGGGGGAUAUCAAUGGUAGAGAUUAUGGCAUAAGAUGAUGGCAGAAAUUGUGGCAAAGAUUAUGGCAUAAAUCAUGCCCACGAUUUGUUCAUUAAUUGUGUAUAUAUAGUUACCUAAAAUAGAAUAUCAGUAAUUAGGACAUUAGCUGUAAUUAGCUAUGUAUAGAUGAUUACCUAAAAUAGAUUGUACAGAAAUUCUUAUUUAAGGGAAAUGAUCAUGAAGUAAAAGACCUUCAGCCAAUUUACUCAAAAAUUGUCAUUUUUAUGUAUGAUCCAAACCUG
rnacentral:lncRNA from 1 species